CACGUAGGGUGCAAGCGUUGUCCGGAAUUAUUGGGCGUAAAGGGCUCGUAGGCGGUCCGUCACGUCGGGAGUGAAAACUUGGGGCUCAACCCCAAGCUUGCGGUCGAUACGGGCAGGCUCGAGUUCGGUAGGGGAGACUGGAAUUCCUGGUGUAGCGGUGAAAUGCGCAGAUAUCAGGAGGAACACCGGUGGCGAAGGCGGGUCUCUGGGCCGAUACUGACGCUGAGGAGCGAAAGCGUGGGGAGCGAACAGG
rnacentral:rRNA from 1 species